rnacentral:lncRNA from 1 species
CAACCACCGAGUAUAAAGGGAAUAGCUGGUUUACAGUAGAUAACCUAAAACAGUAAUUGAAGGGAAACUCCCAGAAGUUUUCCCCCAUCUCAGGUUCAGGGCUGUGUAUUUUUAGGAGAAGAUAAUAACCUGGUAACAAACCUGAACACUGACCAAGUUCUGAAAAAUUAACUACGCUGAAUAUACUUAAUAAGGCAGGAAAACAGGCAAGUUGGUUGCCAUGUUGUGAGCAGCCCCCUUGAAAGGCCCAUGUGAUGAUGAAUUGAAACCUCCUGUCAACAGCCAUAUGAGGCAUAUCUGAGGCACAGAGAGGUUAAGUUGGGGACUGAAGUGUGGCUCCAGAAUCUAAGUUUCUAACUGCCAUGCUAUGACUGACCCCACUGGACUCAUGACUCAUGGACUCAGCUGGUCCUGUGGCCCUACCCAGAAGUGGACUCAGCACACGAGGACCAUUUCCCACACUCCUGUGAUUUCAUCCCCAAUUAUUCAGCAGUACCCUUUCCAUAGCCCCUUGCCCACCAAGUUGUCCAUAAAAACCCUAGCCUCUGAGCUUUUGGGGAGAUGGAGUUGAGUAAUAACUCCAUCUACUGCAUGGCUGGCCUUGUGUCAAUUAAACUUUUUUCUUUACUGCAAUAACAUGGUCUCAGUGAACUGAUUUUGUUCAUGCAGGAGGCAGGAAAAGCCCCUUGGGUGAUUACACAGUGGUUCUCAAAGUAUGGACCUCCAACCAGCAGCAUCAGCAGCAUCUGGAUACUUGCUAGAAAUGGAAAUUCUCUGGCCCUAUUCCAGGCCUUCCAAGUUGGAAACUUUGUGAUGGGGCCCAGCACUCUGUGUUUUAACAAGCCCUCUAGCCUUAAGGAAAACAACUCUGAGGACUUUUGUCACGGACUUGAAAUUCUCAUCUGUGCUUGGACAAGACUCUGAAACAUACCAACUGUGUAUUUUCCUGCCUUUGGUAAAUCUGGAGCUAUUAACUGAUUCUAAAGAACAUUUGACUUAAAAAGACUAUGGAAAGCCCAAAGAAUAAAGAUAAUGAAGACCCCAGUGGAUUAUUAUUAGCAAAUGAAAACUGGAUAUCAAGAAGGGCAAAAUCUUCAACCUUAUCAGCAGAAAGAGUUUAUGUAAAAAUAUACCACAUAGAAUAACUAAAAAAAUAAGCAAGUGAUACCUUAUCUGAGCUCAAAAUAUCUGUUUCUUUGCAAAUGGAUAAAGGAUUUAUUAUAUUAUAGCACCUUGAGGACAGAGACUUUAUGUUUCUAACUACCCAUCCCAGCAUCAUCUAGUUCAUUCCUAUGCUGAACAGCCCCUAACACAUUGCCUAAAUAAAUACUAACAUUAUAUGUGUGCAAUGAAGUAUUCUUUUGCUAAAAGCAAAACUUUCAUAUGGUCUUACAAUAAGCCACUUGUAAGACUAGUUUUAAAUAAUUACUGAUACAAAUGCUGCCACUGCCCCCAAAGAAACCUGAAUAAAAUUAUGUUAGGCUGCACUAAUUUCAGUGUCAAGCUAUUUAACUCUGCUGAUAGUCAUUUUUUUAAAGAUCUUUUGAUCUUUAAAUUGAGAGAGUUGAACUAAAUAAUCUUUUAGAUAUCUUCUAGUUUAAUAUUCUAAGAUUCUAGUAAAUAUAUUGUGUUUGGUCAGGUGUGGUGGCUCAUGCCUGUAAUCCCAACAUUUUCAGAGGCUG